rnacentral:rRNA from 1 species
UACGAAGGGGGGCUAGCGUUGUUCGGAAUUACUGGGCGUAAAGCGCACGUAGGCGGCUUUGUAAGUUAGAGGUGAAGGCCCAGGGCUCAACCCUGGAAUUGCCUUUAAGACUGCAUCGCUUGAACAUCGGAGAGGUAAGUGGAAUUCCGAGUGUAGAGGUGAAAUUCGUAGAUAUUCGGAAGAACACCAGUGGCGAAGGCGACUUACUGGACGAUUGUUGACGCUGAGGCGCGAAAGCUAGGGGAGCAAACGGG